GUAUUUGUGGUUCAACUGUAAUCUUAACCGAAGGAGACUGUGAUGACACUGAAACUUUAUAUGUUGCAGGGGUCCCUACGUUAGUUAAAAUCCUCUUGUAUUGAACAGUGGUUGAUUUGUGAGAACCACCCCUUGCGCCCAAUGCUGUGUCAAAAGGAACUGAAAAAGAUGGGUAAUUGAGAUCUUCCACCCUGUAUUUAAUCUUUUUGUCACAGGUAAACUCUUUUCUUGCAACAAGCUUUAUUUGAAAUGAAGUGUAGUUCAAGGCACAGAGGAAGCUCAAGUAGUCAUCCGCGGUAGUGUCAUACACAAGACCAGGAUCAAGAGCGGCUACUGGANNNNNNNNNNNNNNNNNNNNNNNNNNNNNNNNNNNNNNNNNNNNNNNNNNAUGGUGUGGCAGGUAUCCCAGUAGCGACAUCUUUUAUUGCUUGCCCAUUUUUGUAGGCUCUGUAAGAUGUGGUCAUGAGGGCAGACCUUAUAAUUGCGGGACUCCAUUCUGGAUGAGCUCCUUUAAGAAGAGCCGCUAAGCCACUUACAUGGGGGCAUGACAUGGAUGUGCCAGAGAUGAUGUUGAAGCUCACAUGCCUUGUAUCAUCAGACAAGCCAGUUGGCCCAACUUUCCCACUCCAUCCAGCUAGAAUGUUGACUCCUGGAGCUAUGACGUCUGGUUUGAGUAUUUUUGGCGUGAGUAUAUUUGGUCCUCUAGAGCUGAAAGCUGCCACCACCGGGGAUGGUUGAACCCCUAAUUGGGUACCGCCAAAUGCAAUUUUAGCGGUUGGUUUGAGAGCAGAAGAAACAUACUUCUUUACUUCAUUACUUGCUUUCUCCCCCAAAGCUGCUGCAGGGAGGAGAUAUGAGUCAGCAACUAGCUCUUCCCCAUAAUCUUCUUUGUUUGCUAAAAUCAUCCCAAUUCCUCCUGCACGCUUGACCACCAAACUCUUUUCGGCUCUAGGAUUUCCUCCUCUGUCACAUAUCACUAUUUUUCCUGAAACUUUACUAGGAUUCAAACUAUCUGUGGUGCACAGGCCAUCGGUCGAAUCCUGGCCGACAUUAGCAGCAUAAACAAGCGGCAGUGAAGAAUCAGGUGGCAAUUUUCCAUUGUAAAGAGACACGCCGUUGUAUCUCUUCCCAUUUCCAAGGGUGAUAUAGGCAGGGAAAUCACGGUCUAUAGUUCCAGCACCCACAGUGGUUAUCCAUGGCGCAACAUUAGCCAAAGUUGCUCGACUAGGUCCACCAUUUCCUGCUGACAUGGAUACCAGUAUUCCAUGUUCCAUGGCUGCAAAAGUUCCCAUUGCAACAGUGUCCCUGUAGUAGUCCAUUAAACCUCCACCAAUAGACAUAGAGAGGAUGUUGACACCGUCUUCAAUGGCCUUAUCGAUUCCAGCAGCUAUGUCUGUUGUGAAGCACCCACCAAGCCAACACACUUUGUAAGCGGCCACUCGAGCUUGUGUGGCCAUGCCUUUUGCUGUCCCAGAAGCAAAACCAAAGAGGCUUGCCCCUGCAACUGCAGAACCUGCUGCUGUAGUUGAGGUGUGACUUCCAUGCCCAUCAUCAUCCCUAGGUGACUUUGAUUCUGUCUUUUCAUCAAUGGGUCCAAAAGCUGCCUCAUAGCCUUUAGCAAAAAACCUUGCACCAACAAGUUUUUUGUUACAGUUUGAUGAGUUAAAGUUUUUACCUGUCUCACACUCCCCUUUCCAGCUACUGGGUACUGGUCCAAGUCCAGUGUCGUCGAAGCUUUUUAGUUCAGGCCAUACACCAGUGUCAAUUACUCCAACAACCACCUCACUUUGUUUCCCAUAGGACCCUAGAAGAGUUUUUGUUUUCUCCAAUCCAAGGAACUCAGGUGUUCGAGUUGUGUGAAGCUCAUAUCUUACUUCAGGGAUAACCGAGAGAAUUCCCGGUUGCUUUGUGAGUAAGUCUGCUUCUUGAGUAGUUAGCCUUGUGGAGAAGCCAUGAGCUACAUGUUUGUAGGUAUACAGCAUCUCUGCAGUUUCUGAUACUAAUUUUAGUGAUGAAUCAUACCAUUGGAGAUGAUCAUCGAAACUUGCUGGCAUGUUUAACUUGUCCAUGUGAAUUAUGUAUGUUCUUUUAGGAUUCUGUGUUUUCUUUUCUGCUAUAGUGUAUCUGCUAGAGAAAACUAGCAGCAAAGCCAUCUGAAGACACUUGAAAAUCAGCAUAUUCAUCUUUUAGCUCCAGUGUGAGUUGUAGUUUGGCUUAUUUUGAAUUUGCUUUAGAAUUGCAGGGAUACCACACUAUUUAUUAUUGAUUUGGAACUAUUGAGUCUGCAGAGAUUGGUUGAUUCUUUUUAUUGCCAAUACAUAUUUCAAUUGGGAACACAAAAUAGUGAUGUGACUGUUGCUAUAAAAUAAUAAAAAGUGUUGUGGCCAAUACACAUUUUCUUUCAGUGUUUAUAGUAUCAAUAAAUGGUACCUCAUUAAGAGAAAAAGUGUUUAUUUCUUAACUUAUUUGGUUUAUGGAGUACUUUAUAGGCAUUCUUUUUCAUCUGCUUAAUGAUUUUCCUCCAAGUUUCUAAAUAGUGGGGCAUAUCUUCUAAAUAGUUUUAUAACAGAUAAGCAAAUUUAGUGUGUUAGUGACAUUGAGUUGGAGACCACAUAGUUCCAAAUCAUCAUAGUUUAUAUUAAAAGAUAAUGUACACAGAGAUACGGUGGAUUUUCCAUAUCUCUUCUAUGGAAUUCCUCUUGUUCACUGGCAAACUUUACAUGUCAAACACUCAUUGUUCACUAGUCUAAUUACAAAUAGUAUAUUAAAAAAUAAUUGAAAAGUUGAUUAAAGAUUUGUUCACUAGUCUUGUUUUUUCUGUACAAAAUUAUCAAUGUCUUAGAGCUAUAAUUUGUUUAUGCUGUCAUAGUAUUUAAGAAUUUCUCAAUAAAAAAUUUAUUCUAGCUCCUUGAGUGUUCACAUGAUAAUUCAGGUUUGCCAAUAAAAGUGCGAAACUAAGUUCACAUUACUUUCAUUACAAGUUACUUUAUCAAAACUGAAUACAUACAUAUAAUAUAAGUACAUAUAGGAUAUAUACUACUAUUAAAAUUGUAGACUUUAUUAUAUUUUUGGUUACUGUGGUGUCAUCAAUUUACGAUUUUGGUUCAGUAGUUUCAAUUGCUCAAAUCUCUGUACUUUUUCAAUCAACCAAGUUUGGUUUGGAUUGUAAUAUUCUAUUCAAUUGCUAUUAGAAAUGUUGAUCUAAGCCUCAACUAGUGAAUUUGUCAAGAACAUCAAUUAUAACUAUAUGUUGUGUUGAACAUGAUUGUGAGCAAUUUCGAUAGUUGACUUAUCAUCUUAAAAUAAGUAGAUAGGUCCUUCUUAUUAAAUCUUCGGAUCAUUUAGUACGGCGAGAGAGUUCGAAAUUGGCGAUCUUGUCUUAAGGCGCAGUAAAAAAGACUCCGUACAAUUAAAGUAUUUGGCUCCCAAUUAAGAAGGACCGUACAAGAUCAACGCCAAACAGAGAAUUAGAGAUUAGACUGUGAAUUUAUUUUUUUAAAAUUUCUUUUUGAAAAAAAUUAUAAAUUUGAUAAAGAUAUUUUAUCAGUAAACUGAAAUUUAUUAUAAUUUUUUGUAAUUAAUAAUGCAUGUCAUAUGUCAAAAAUCUGAUCAAAUUUAAUUAAGACCCAAUUUACUUGAUUGAAAAAAGUAUAAAGAGUUGAUUUAAGCAAUUGAAACAAGAUAGGCCAAAACCACAAAACAGUAACAGUGCAUGGGUCAAACCUAUAUUUUAUUUUUAAAAAUAAAAUUACAAACUUGAUCAAUAAAUUUUUUCAAAACAACGGUUGAAUUGAUAUAUUUUAAUAUAAAAAAUUUAUUCAAUAGAAUAAUUCUAAAAAAACACAUGGAGUAAGUGAAAGAGUAAGAGAAUCCACCAAAUAAUUAGUAUAUGAUAGUCAUAGUACUAUACAAUAAUUAUCGUUAUAAACUGUACAACAAACAAUCAUGUAGUAAAGUAAUACACUGCUCCAAUCAUUUACUUUUUUUAGCCAUACUCCAAUCAUGUUGUUACUUUUGAAAAACAGAACUUUUUAUUAGUCAGUUCAGCUGCCAUAUUAUUAGUGGUCUAUUAGACAAAAAAAAAAUUGUUGAAGUAAGUCCGGUCCUUAUUGUAAAAAAAAAAAUACUUUUAAAAUUUAUAAAAUAGACCAAAUGAAUUAAGUAUAAACAUUUUGACUAUAGGAUUUUUACUGUUAAUUAGUGGAGAAUUAGUGGUCUGGCAUUGUUGAAAUUGCAUACUCUUCCUUUGUCUAAUUUAAUGUAAUGCUAAUUAACUAAACAUGGUAUUUCACCCAACUAUCAACAAACCCUGUCAACCACUAGUAAUGGUCCACCAUAAUUUAUAGUGCAAGAACCACUAAGCUUUGCAGCACCCUUGCUUAAAAGAUUUAGGUAAAAUUACACUACAUGUCAUUUAUCUUAUUUUAAAAUAUUUAAUUUAUUUAACUUUUAAAAGAAUAUUUUACAACUAUAUUUCAUAAUCGUUUAGUUGUUACUUUCACAAUUCUCAACUUCUCUCUUUAAUUAUUACAUUUUUCUUAAAUUACAUAAUAUGAUACACAGAAACUAGUUUAUUUGAUGUGAGAAAAUGAAUAUAUUUUAAAAUCACGAUCAACAAAUACCAUUGUAUGCUAUAAAAUUGUCUGCUAUAAAGUUGAUUGUGACAGUGCAUUUUCUUGUUUAUGUCAUGUAAUUAUAACAUUUGACCUCAAUUGACACCCUUUGAUAUCAUGGGUCGCCAUAAGACUAAUCUUUGUGACAAAAACAAUUAGAUGUUUUCUCUUCUCAGCUCCCGUGAAUCUUUUAUACUCUCCAAUAUUUUAAUUUUGCCCUUGCAGAAAACUUCGGUUCGUAGAAACCGAAUUUUUACUAGUGCAAAUUCAGAGUAAAUUUCGGUUUUUAGAAACCGAAAUUUGUUUUCAAGGCAAAAAAAAUUUCGGUUUCUACGAACCGAAGUUUUUUAAAGGGCAAAAUUGGAAAUUCAGGGGGAUAAAAGAUUCACGGGGAGUGGGAAGAGAAAACAUCAAACAAUUAUGAGUGAAAAUAAGUUGUACAAGAAUUUAAUUUGUAUACAUUAAUAGUGUAGAACUUUUUUACACAUGCAUUCAAUAAAAUUACAUAUAGAUGUUUGUGAAGAUAUUUUAAAAACAAAUCUAUAAAACUGAUACUAUAAUAUAAUUUGAUUGAAUACAUGGAUAAAUAAAAAGUUAUAUUGCUCGUGAAUAGAAAUUAAUCUCAAUAGUACAAUUAUUGAACCAUCAUUUCGUCCUAAUCAUAAUAGCUAUACGAAUAUAUUUCCAUACAUCCAAUAGAAAUUGGAUCAGUCUCAAUCAUGGAUUCAUGAUGGAUAUAUUGCAUUGUUGCUUGCUUGUUGGCUGCUACUAAUCGACAUUUUUCAAUCAUGUACUAUCAAAUAACUAAGCUAAGUGUAGUCCAUAGUGGCAGUGACAAUACUCCUAAUAGAUAAAUGUAGAUGAUAGUGUUCCAAAAUAUGGNNNNNNNNNNNNNNNNNNNNNNNNNNNNNNNNNNNNNNNNNNNNNNNNNNNNNNNNNAUAAUAUUUUAUUUUUGAUACGACCUAUUUAAGAAUGAAUGGAUCCUAUCAAAUUUGUAACGAUAAAAUAUAAUAUGUUACACAUGUUUAGUUACAAAAUAAUACCUUGACAAAAAAAAUGUUACAACAUAAUGCAGUUAAAAUUAAACCGCGCAAAAAUCGUAUAUAAUAAAUCCAAUGCUAAAAUCGUAUUUUUACACGCCUCCUAUUGCACAUCACCAUCUUUCGUUACCUUACAGAAAUUUGAGCUGUACAAUUAUAGCGCAGAUGAAUCCAAUGCUAAAUAUUUGGAGAGUGAAAUGAUAGAGAGGUGUGUUAUUUGAACAAAAAAUUUAGGACAACUUUGGCAACUUUGGGACGACUUUCAUUUCCUCUAUUCUCAUUGGAUAAAAACAAUAGAGAGGGAGAGAGAGAGAGAGAGAGAGAGAGAGAGAGAGAGAGAGAGAGAGAGAGAGAGAGACAUAGCUCAUUGAUACAGCAACAAACAUGAUUCAUCAUUUUGACAGUUAAAGUCAGGUGGAGCCAAGCAUGCAAUAGUGUCGAGAGACAUAGCUCAUAACUACAAAUCUCAACUUUCCCAGUGACGAGUUUCGGUUUAAUUUCACAGUUUCCAAAUUAACCUAUAGCGAACUGAAUACAAGAGAAUAGAGAGGGUGGACAUAAAAAAGGGAUAGUUUCUUUGAAGCUGAUUUGAAAAUGGGACCAAAUCUAAAUAUAAUAUGAAGUCAAUUUAAAAGAUCUCCAACUUGUGACCAAUCGAAGUAAUCGAUCAAUCCAUACGCAUAAGAUGAGAGUAAACUCAAUGGUACUAUAAAAAGGAAAAAAUGACCAAGAUAUUUCAUUUUACCUUAUUCGGUUCAAGUAUCAGAAUGAAUCCUAUCAUGCAAUCGAUAUAAGAGUGAUGAUUUGGACAUCUGAGGUUCCCUCUCUAAGACUGCAAUCACAUCCUUCACAGAGAUGUUACGAGCUAUCCGAGUUUGAGAUCCAGGGGAUUGAUUUUUCCCAAAUUUCCUAGCAGCCGCUGUUGGGAACAAGAUCGGUGACAUAAUAUCAGCAUAAAUGUUGCAGUGUAAUCAGACAAUGGGGAUACACACAUAUUGUAUUGUAUUUAGAGACCAUGGGGAUAUAGUUUUACUGUUUCAGUUUGAAUUUUAUAAUACUUUUUAGUGAUGAUAAUACAAUUUUUGUUAAACAUCACUUUUUCUACUUUGUUUGAGAAUUGGUGUUUUGGUUUAUUUUCCUACAUUGACAUUGGUAUUGCAACAAUAACUUAUAAGUUAGUUCAAUAUAUACUCGUUGAUUUUGGAUGAUGGCAGUACAUUCAGAGUUUUAGACUUUAUUUUGCUCUACUUCUUUUCUGCUAGGAAAGUGUGAAUUUUGCAGAGUUUUCGUUCUGCUGACUAAAUUGGAAUAUUAAGCAAUAAAUGUAUAAUUAAUGUUUAUCUUGAAGGAAAUAAUUAGUUAUAUAAGUUGUUUUAAGAUAUGCAUAAAAAUCAAUGCGACCAUGCGAACGCAAGAGGUAACUAACUAGUUUGAAUACGACGGUAAAGAUAGAAACACCAUUAAACUUGUAGACAACUGAAGUGGUAGGAAACAACAAAGAAACGCACCUGAAUUCCCAAGAGAAGUUGGACCUUUUCUCUCCCUUUCUUGAUUAUCUCUUGUGUUCCUUCCAGAUGAUGGUGAAGAUUUGCGACUGACAUCUUUAGCUGGCUGAGAACCAGAUGCAUUGUCCGUCCCCCCUUCGCGUUUUUGCUUGGCUUGCUCAGCCAUAAGUUGCCACUUUGACAGCAUGUCAUCUCCUCCAACAGCAGCUCGGGCUGCAACAUUUGCAGCAUUUGUCCUCAUCUUGUCAUCUACAUCCUUGUUCACCUACAACAAAUUACCAAUAAAAAAACUAGACUUUCCACAUAGAUAAAGGUGAAUUGCAUCAUCUAAAUUGAUAGCAGUACCUUUGUUCCUUUAUUGCGACCAUCAUCCUUCUCCUUGUCACCAUCAACUCCGGAACCACCGUCUACCUAUACAUAAAAAAUAGUUAUAUUAUGUCCUUAACUAAGCAAAAACUUCCGCAAAGUGACAAAGUGAAACCCACAUCAUUUAGUUUCCGGAGCUUGUCUGCUUCAGCCUGUUUUUUCUCCCACUCUUCCCUUGCUUUCCUAUUCAUUGUCAUGAUUUGCUGUCGAACAUCUGACGUGACAACAGUCCGAUGUCUUGUUUUCUCAAUAUCAACCCGCUGGUACGAAAACUUAUUGGAAUUAAAAAACUUUACAUAUUGACAAAAAGGCUACUCAUGCAAGCAGUUAGAGAAAAUAACUGACCUGUUUUGACAUUCUAAUUAUGUUACUUAUUACUCCACGCAUUCUCUCUUCCACACACUGAACAUUCAUUUUCAGCUGUAAGAUUACAUGGAAUCCUACUUGUAAUAGAUAUUGAAAAAGUAGUUUAAUCUCACCAGUGACAAGCAUUUUUCUACAUCAUUACUCAUGCCUUUCAAGCCAUACUCGGUCACUGCCAAGGUGACAAAAUAGAACAGCUAUAAGGCUUAUAAGUACAUAUCUAGAUAAGUUUGAAGAAUGGAAAGAAAAUCAGAUGAACAGAGUAAUGGCAUAAAUAUGACUCACUAAUCUCAAUCAACUUUCUCUGCAAUGGAGCUUUCAGCAAAAUCAGACUUUCCUCCUCUUCUUGCACAACUCUUCGAGAUGCUUCUGAAGCUCGACUGUCCUCCUUGGACCCAGAAAAUAACUGUUCUUCCUCUUCCUAUAAAAAUAUAACCCAAAAAUAGCCUGAGAUUUUAACACAGAAAAGUAUACAUUCCCGACUGUGGUUUUCUUCAAUAUGACAAAGUAUCAUACCCUAAGAUCAACACCACUAACAGCAGCAACAUCAUUAAGCUGUUCAAUGCUUUGUUCCAGAGAUGAGCCAGACACCUUUUGUUUCUUACUGCAGGAUAGCAAGCAGAUAUGCAUAUAUCAAAAUCAGUAAGAGAUCGCAAUAACUAAACCAGGAAGAAAAAAAAACACAAAUCAUGAACGAGCAGAAUAUUGCAACUCACCUUGGAGGGGGAGGUGAAGAACCAAGUGCUUCAAGUGGUUUCUUCUGGCCAAGAGGAGUUUUUUUUAGAGGUGCCUUUGCAUUAAUACCAGAAGUGCUAGCUGGGAUCUGAGAGCUUAACUGAUACAAAUGGAGGCAAGGAACUUGAGUAUCAGCAAGUAUUAAGAUAUCAUUAAAAACACGGAUGGAACAUAUCCUUGUAAACAAAAUGAUGGCGUGGUAUAUUCAAGAAAAACUUACAAAAAAAACUGAAUUCAUGUUUCCUAACAGAAAAAUGCUAUAAAACGUGGAAGCUUACUGACGUGAAACAAAACCUAAUGUAAAAUUCAGAAACAGAAUAAGAAAUCCUCUAAAACAAAAGAACAACCAAGAAAAGGAGAAAAUGAAUAAAGCUUCCCGAUCUCUCAAAAAGAAAUCAUAAUAUUUCACAGAAUUAUAACAAUAGGGGGGGAAAAUUUAUAAACAAUUCAAGCAGUUCAAGUAGAUUAAUACUAUUUCCUGGAUAAAAAUCACGCAGUAUUGGAAGAUUAUAGAAAGUAGAAAAAAAUCAAAGAAAACUCAGAGAAAUGCAGAAACUCUUCUAAGAAAGUGAUAUUCCAAUUAAUUAUUAACAGGUUGCAGAUAUUUAUACUAGUGCUAACAGCAUUCAAACUGCACACGAAGUGGUUAUAUUCUGUUACAACUGUCUAAUAGAGUCUGAAAAAGUAACUAACUAACGGAGAUGGGAAAGCUUAGGCUUGUGCUCCAAGUACAGAGACUAACACAACACAAUUUACUAGUAUUAUACCCACACAAAAAUUUAUUCAUCCUUAUAAAACUAGCUUGUAAUGUAAGGGGCGUAACUUUUUAUAAACUUUUUUCAGGGCUUGUCUUGUUUCAAUGUGAGACUUAUUUUUUUUUCCAAUGCACCUCAUGCUCAGCACAAUCGGGAUUGGUGGGAUUUCCCGAAUGGAUAACCUCUGAUUUCAUAUAAGGUUUAUUUAUUUUGAGUCCAACUCAUCCUUACAAAACUAGUUUGUAAGGUGAAGGGUCCACACUUUAUAAACCCUUCAAUUAAGUUAUAGAUUUCAUUUUGCAAUAAUACCUUUUAUUUUCUUAUGAAACAAGUUUCCAUGAAGGGUAUUUUGGAGAAUGCAAUCAUUUUUAUUAUUACAUCAAGGAAAAUAAUUGAGUUUAACCACUAUUCUUGAUUAUCGUAAUUCUUUUUCUUAUGUAGAAACCAGAGUAAUAUUGUAUCUUCCAAUAUUGAACAUAUAAUUUAUAUAACACCAACAUAGGGUGCAUCAUGCUCAUGACCAAGAAAACAAAAAAGAACAUUUGGAUACUGUUUGAUCCCCAAAACUUUAGGCAUCACAUCUUUUAGACAAAGACAUGCACAUUAGUUUAUAACUAAUGUUAAGAAAAAAAGUUUAUAACUUACAGAGACAGUUGGAUCUAGUUGAGAUGCAGAAGGGGCAGCAGAAUUUGGCGGCAAGCUAGCAGAUGUUGUAUGCGGCAUGCUAGUUGAUACUACAGAACCUCUUGAAAACUCAUCCUUUACAGGGCCUUGAUUGAUACCGCUACCCUGUUCAUUUUGACCAGAAUUAACAGAAGGCAACCCAUGCAAUUUCGACAAAUGAUGCCUGUGUUGCUGAUCAAUGGAAAGAUCAUUAGGUUCCUUUUUUACAUAUGACAUAGAUGUAAACAAGCCUGGAUUUUGUUCUGCUGAUGGUUGCCAAGAAUUUGAAUUUUGUUGUGAUGAUGUAUUGUUUACCACAGUCGGCACAGAUCCACCUGGCAUUCUCUUAGGAUCAUUGAAAGAACUCUGCCGUUCUACACCUAAGUGACUUAGACCAAUGUUCUGAUGUGGAAUUUGCCUCAUGUGCGAAUCAUGAGGAUGAGGUUGUGGUCUGAGAGAUGGUGAUGAACCAGUGGUUGUUCCAGAAAAAGGGAUAUAGUUACCACCACUGCUUCCAUAUGUCGAUGGGAAAUGUAUAUGCUGUUGUUGCUGCUUAUUAAGGCCUUGUAUGUGAACUGAGGAUCUUUCAGUUUCUUGACUAACGGCAUUAGAACUGGAUGAUGGUAAUUGAUUUGGUUGCACUACUCGAACAUCGUGUUCCUGAGGUUUUUUAGCACUAAUGUCCAUAGUCGAAUAGGUAGGCUCACUCUUCACUUGGAUACCCGAAGAAGUAUUAUGAGAAUGGUCUGGAGCAGCACUCAUACUUCUCUGAUGCAGUUGUGCUAAUGCAUGGGGAUCGUUAAACUUUGUUCCACUGGAAGUAACACUUGGCAUCCUUACAGGGUGCUGCUGUCCAGAAGAACCUGUGUUGGCUUUUGUCUGCAAGAAAAAAGGAUGGUUCUUAGCAUAACGUUGAAAUCGAAAUUCAACCACCUUGAGAUAAAACAUAUGAAAGACUGCAUAACCAUCUACUCUACCUACCUGUUGUUGCACUUUUGUUAAUGCUAUUCUAAGCAUCUGAUCCCCCACGAUCCCUUUCAUAAGCCGUACAAAAUUAUCUUUAGGUAUUUCAUCUCUCUGGAACAAAUGACAAAACAAAAGACUUAGUAAUAUGAAAAAGCAUUACACAACAAACUUUAAUUGUUUAGCAUAGAAGAGAGGGGGAAAGGACAUGAUAGUGAAACUGGUUCGAGAAUCCCACCUUCAAUUUGUUAAAUAAAGUUUGAAGUUGCAUGGCUCUGUCUUUGGCAAGUUGGGGAAUCAAAAUAGGGAGCAACAAGCCAAACGGUACCUGUUUACUACGAUUGACUUGGCUACUAGGUUGUUCAUUGACCGUGGCCUGUUGAUUACUCAUCUGCUGUAGCUUUGCAUACUGAGAUUCACAGUUGGGAUUACUUGUUUUGAUUGCCUCAUGGUUGAAGAUAGGAUCUUUUUCAGAUUUCAGAACUUCAUUUGUUUGAGGAUGUUGGUGGGAAACUUGUACAGUCUGGCGUUGGAGAAAUUCAUCUUGAGAUUUUUUGUGUGAUAAAGUAAGAUUACUUGCAUCCUGUGAGGCAACAUUCUGUAUUUGUUCCACGAUAGGUCCUUCUUGCUUCAGCACCAUUUCAGAGGAAGGUUGCUCUUGCAGCUGUGCAAUUUUAGGCUCCUGAUUUUGACAGUCAAUCUGGUUGUCAUGGCUAGAAGUUGGCCAAGUUGAUAAUGAUUGACUGAAUGAAUUAUUGCUUCCUUCAGAAAAAAAAUGAAGCAAUCAUCAAAGCACUGUGUGAAAGUGAUCAAAAUUUUAUCAAGCAAACAGAAAAAUAAGAAUCAACAGUCAAUAUAACAUUUCUAUACUCCGGUCCAGAUAUUCUGAUUAUCUAUUAAUACUGGACUCUUUUCUUUUUUUUUGACAAAAUUAAUACUGGACUCUUACAUAAUGAACAAUCGGAUACAAAAGUGCAAAUUCUUCUUUUUAAACAGUAAAUGAAAAUUAGAAGAAAAAUGUGAUAAAGACUGAGACAAAAGAUGACAAAUCAGGCCCCUGUCUGUUUAAAUUAGCAAACAUGAAAAUGACAUUUUAGAAGAUAAUAUGACAAGAAUCUUAACGAGAGUUACUACUUAAAAUAGUCAACAAAAGGACAAGGAAUCAACCGUGCAGAUAUUUUUUUGAAGAAAGAAGCACUAGCGGUGAUUGAUAGAUUGAUAUUGAAAUGAGAAUUCAUCAAGUAUUUUAAGCUGGGGGACAGAUAUGUGAAACCCAUUUCUGCAAUCAUAUCUUGAUUCAUACAGAUCCAAACACAGUCGAUACAGAUCAAACUGUAAAUCUCUUUUGGACUUGGAAUGGAGCAUGAAUCUCAAUUUGCUCUUUUUUUUUUUUUAAAUGGCACAUGUUGGCAAUCAAUUGUUAGCAACGUUAUUGGGAGGGAGUUAAACUCACAACCCUUUAUCUCUCAAACCCUUAUGAUCCUCCCCAGACCCGCAGACCACCUCAUCACUCCUACAAAUUUUAAUCAUGUAUUGUUUUGAAAUUCAUAAUGAUAUAUCAGUUUUCAUUUUGUUUGCUUAUUCACUUUUUUUUAUUUACAAAUGCCAUAUUUUUACUGGCGUGUGUAUUUCUAUUUUCUACCAAUUUUAAUGCAAAAAGGAAAAAGGACGGAAGCUAACUAAUUCGUAAGAAUUAUAACGUAAAUUGAUGGAUACCUGCAUCUGAAUCAGAAAGCUGAGAAUUAGAAGCAUCUCCACCUAUGUCUCUAUUCAAUGCAGCUUGGAACGCUUCCACAUCUGCCCCUGAAUGCAUAGUUUCGUCCUGUGGACAUCAAAACACAGUGAUGGUACAAGUUAAGCCCCAAUUCAAAGUCAGCAGAUGUUUUCUGGAAAGUAUAUAGUAGAGAGGAGAAAACCUCAUCAUCUUCAAGAAGCUUCACUAUAGAUGGGUCCAUAGCAGCGCGCCGUUUUCUUUGUUGCUCUUUUAUACCAACCGCAAUUCAGAUAUUUUCUUUACGCAAGCUCAUAAAAGAAGCAGCUGAAAAUGGUGCCAUCAACAUAUGUAUUAGGUUAUAUGCAUAAAAAAUUCAGGAUUAUUUGAUUAUUUGUUUUACUAACACAUUUAGAACCACAGGGUUAAGAGAAUUCAAUUCAUUUCCCAACAAAGAUGAGGGGAUUCAUACAAAAUUAUUCAAGACGUAGUCAAAAUUAUUCAUAAUUUGACUCGAACUUUGCACUUUGCAUUUGAGUAAUUAUUCAUAAAUUCACAAAAGACACUUUUUCACUCUUCUAUUGUUAUUCACAUACUUUUCACAAUUACCCAAUUAAAUUAAAUUGAAUUAAAUAAAAGCACAUUACAAACAAAGAGGAAGAAGGUACAAAACAACACCUAAAAAUCAAAGAAGCGGUGCUAUUUUUUCUGUCUCAGGGAGGAAGGAAAUACAGUUUUCAGUUUGAAGUCUUAGCAAAAUAAUCUAAAGCACAUAUGAUUAUGCUGCACCUUUAGGUGGCAACCAGAUAGAAUUUCAAACUUGUUUAGAUAACUCCAAGCACUAACAGUCAAAACUGACUCACUACUUUAGAAAUUGCACCUUUCUAAAUUUUAUAAUUUGACGUUCUAACUUUGAGAUGAUAUGCAAGGGUGGUGUUAUUUCCUUCAUAACCACAUUAUCCGUGUACCCUCCGUUUAACAAGCCAAAAACUAGAGCAGUGUAUGUUACAAUAUCUGGUUCUAGUCGUAGGUCAAUCAUUUCAUUAAAGAAUGUAAUUGCGUUUUGAAAGUUAUAAAUCUUUAGGUGCCCAUCAAUCAUAACAGUGUAAGUAACAACAUCUGGACUAAUUCCCAUUUGCUUCAUGUCUCCCCAGAUAGUCAAAAUAUUGUACAUUGCAUCCUUUCCUUUUCUGUGUCGAGAAUAGAAAUGUUUUAGUCCCACAUCGAGUAGAACUGUGUAUGUAACGACAUCAGGUUUGAUCCCUCUGAUCUCCAUAUCUUGGAAGAGGUCAUGAGCCUCUUGCAAGCAAUUCAUUUCACAAUAACUUUUUAUCAUAAUUGUGUAAGUUACAACGUCAGGCGUAAAUCCUUUCUCAACGAAAAAAUCAAACAAAGAGCGAGCAUGUUUCAUAUUCUCUGCUUGGCACAAUGCAGUUAAUACUUUAGAAUACAUUACUUUGCUAAGUUGCUUAAAACCAGAACUUUCUUUUGCAAUAUCUCCUCGGUUUGAAAUCUCACAGAAAAUUUCAUAUGAUUUUUCAAUAAGGCCAGCCUGACAAUAGCCAUUAACCAUGGCAGUAUAGAUUUCGACACCUUCAUCUUUCCGACAGUUAAAAUAUGCCUCAGCAUCUUCAACCAUGCCCGCUGAACACAAACCUUCAAUGGUAAUCUUAUGUGUAAUGGAGUUUGGCUUCACACCUUGACUAUCCAUAUAACUCAAAAGGUCAACUGCUUCACGAUCACGGCGAUUUCUAAACAAACCGGCAACUAGUACAUUAUAAGCAACACCAUCAGGUUUAAAUCCAUUUUCCUCCAUUUCUUUGAAAACACUAUAGGCUACAUCGGUUUUACCUUGAAGACAGUAACCACUAAUAAAGGUUGUGUAGUGUUUGAUAUCUACAUCGAUAUGCGUGGAUUUCAACUCCUCCAACAUACCUACUGCUACAUCCACCUUACCCAAUUUACACAAAGAAUUAAAAACAAUGUUGUAUGCUACCCCAUCAAGAAACACACCCAACCGCUUUAAUUCUUUAAAUGCAUCUACAACUUCUGAAUACAUACCAAUCUCUCCCGAGCAAUGAAGGAUACAACUAGCAAUCACACAAGUUGUCUUUAUACCCUUCGAAAUCAUGUCCUCGUGUAAUUUGAAAGCUUUACCCAAAUCAUUGCUCUUACAGUAUCCACGGAUCAACGAAGAAUAAACAUGCGAAUCAGGAACAAGUCCCUUCCAUUUCAUGUCAUAAAACACAUCCUCGGCUUUAUCUAAUUUCAUUUCAUUACAAAACCCGCGAAUAACUGCGGCAUAGGCAUAAACCUCAAUAGGAGCGUUCAUCUUUCUAUGAUAUUGGAGCACUUCAUAUCCCAAAUCAGACAUAUGAUUAUUACACAGCCCCUCAAUAUAAGCUUUGUAACAAUACGAAUUGGGAGUCACACCAGCAUCCAUCAUUUCAUCAAACACACGAACAACGUAUUUCAAACAAUCAACCUUCUUACACAAUGCCUUGAUAAUAAUGCCAUAAGUGUGAUGAUUAGGACACAAACCAAGCCUCUUAAUUCGACCAUAAACGUCCAAAGCCAUAUCAAUUUUAUCAUAAUUAACCAAACGGUUAAUAAGAAAAUUACAAGCAAACAUAGUUGGAAAAAUCCUAAACCUCUCAAUUUGAAAUUGAAACAAGAACUCAACACUUUCAUCAAACAUGUUAAGACCAACAUAAGCUUUAACAACCCCAUCAAAAGCUCUAACAAAGUAACAAUUUUUAUUAUCAAAAUCAACACUCUCUACUAGUUUCUCAAACAAUUCAUGAACUUCAAAUAAUGGGUUUUGUUGGGAACAACGAGAAAUUAUAUCGCGAAGAAGAGAAUCCAAACUUGUAUUCAAAUUCCAAUAACAUAGUAUUCUAAUGAAAGAAGCAUAGGUUUGAAUAUUGUGUGUGAAACCAUGUUGGUUAAGUUGAGUAAAGUAAGAGAGUGCAAGUGAAGGGUUGUUACGAUAAAGGUAGAGUCAUUGGAGGACUUUGAAGGUGUUAGGAUCAAAAGAUGAGAAAUUUUGAGGUUUAGUGAAAUGGGUUUGUGAGGAAGAAAGUGCAAGAGAAGUGGAAGAAGAAAAAGUGAAUUUUUUGUUGCAGUGAAUGGUUUUGGUUUUGGUUUUGGAGAAUGAGUUUUUGAAGAGAGGAAGAAUAAUGAAAGAAGGUAAAUGCAAGAGACGACACAACAUACCAGUGGUGUUGCGUGCGGCUGAGUUUCGGCGAGGCUACGGCGGCGAGGAACAAAACAUUCAGAGUUCGGGCGACGGUAACAAAACACAAAAUUGAUUACCAACCAACAACAAAUUCAACAAUCUAAUGAGAAUAACGAUAAUGCAACGCAAAUCGAACACAUGGCGAAGAUUAGAUGGCAAAAUUAUCAGGAACAAGCAAAUUGAAGACAGGGUGAUACUAGGAACAAAGAGCAAACAUCAAAACAUAAAACAGAAACAAAAUCGAACCUGGGUUGUUGCAGAGCAGAGGGUGAUUCGUGUUUCUAAUGGAAAAAACGCUUUCGUGAGCUCUCUUAUAAAUAUAUUUUCUUCAAAAAUUGAUUUAUUUUACUAACAAAAAAGAUGUAUUUAUUUUAUGGGUAUAGGUAUAUUUGUACAGUAUUUUAUUUUGACAGUAUUCAGCGAUCAAGAUUUCCUGACUUUAGAGCACCAAGGCAUGGUGUCCUUGCCUCAACACUGUCGGUCAGAUAAAUCACACAAUCCAAAACAUGUCACGUGUCCCUUUUUUCAUUUCAUUUAAAUAAGAUCUAAUUGCCCUUUUAAUCCUCUUAUUUUAUUAUUAUUGUGAAAUUAGUCUCUUUAUUUCAAAAAUAAAAAUCUUAGCGUCUCAGUCCCUAUGAGUUUAGAUCAGUUGGUAGGGACAUCGAACUAUAUGUGCAGAACCCGGAUUCGAACCCGGGACACUCCACUUAUUCAUCUUUAAGGUAUAUUUUCUAGCCACUAANNNNNNNNNNNNNNNNNNNNAAAAAAAAAAUAGUGUCUCAAUUUUGACAUUUAUUGCAGUUUUGCACCCCACUAGGCCUCCACUGUCCCGAUUCAUAUCAAUUGUAUGUCCACCUAUUAUAUUGGAUGGUAAAUUUAAUCCCUUAUUAUUUUCUUUAUAAACGGCGUGCAACUGCAUAAACUAAUCCCCUCGAAGUACUGAGAUCGAUUUAAGGGAUCCAAGUAUCUAUCACUUGUGUCACAUUAUAUUGGUAAUCCCUUAUUUAUUUAUUUUUAGUUGUCAUUAUAUUGUAUUUCACCAUCAUUUUUAAUUAUCAUGAUAAUGAUAGUACAAUUUUUUCUAUGCAACCCCAGAUGUUUUGUCAGAUUGACAUAUAUCUCUCAAUAGUUUGAUCGAUUUUGAAUGUGUGUCGGUUGUUUCUUUAAUUUUGCAGCCUCAUGUGCCUUACUUUUUCAAUAUGCUUUAUGAGUGCUUGAGUUCUAUGGCUUGAGUUCAAAGUUUCGAUAAUGUUCUUCUCUCUUAAGACAGAUUAUCUCGCCUGUUGAUUGUCUUUUGGUUUCAUAUUCAAACGAUACCAAAGCGACUAUAAUAGUAGUAUUAUGUGUGCAGUUCUUUAUCGAAAAUUUAAGCAAGGUUUUUCAGUCUGAGAUUUGAGAUUAGUGGAUGUUUCACCUACGAGGUUUUUCAACCAUAUUGCAUCAUUUCGAAAUCUAGGUUCAGAAGCUAAUUCCAUUCUGGUUUCUGCUAGGAUCAAAUUUAGGGGCAUUUUUUAUUUUUGGGGGGGCUGAGAGCAAUACAUGGGGCCUAAAGAGCAAUUUUCUACUAGGUAGCGAGGAAGCUUGAAUUGGGCUUUAAAAGUCGUAUUUCCUUUUAUUCAACAAGCCCAUUAAUGAAUAUAUUUAGAGAAUUUAUUUUGGCACCCACUAAGUUUUUUUGCACGUCCAUAAAAUUACAAAAAUAUCCCUUAUGCUACUUAAUUAGUGGAUGUGUAAAAUAUUGAAAUCUUGUUAGUUGUUACGGGUGUUUUUUUUUUUUCUUCUCAAAUUUCCCAUUUUUAUAAUGUUCGUUAUUUGGCAAACAUUUAAAAUAGAUCCAAAAUAAUAGUUUUUAAAUCCAAAAUAAUAGUUUUUUUUUGUUAUUUUAAAACGUAAGAUCCAAACACUGGGUUAUAUGAUGUUAGGUUUGGGUAUGGGCUCUUAUCGAGCCGCUUUAUUUCAUUUGAUUAGUCAUGCUUAUUCAAAAGCAUUGUUGUUUUUAGGAUCUGGAUCCAUUAUUCACUCAAUGGAAGCUAUUGUUGGAUAUUCUCCAGAUAAAAGUCAAAAUAUGGUUCUUAUGGGUGGUUUAAGAAAACAUGCGCAUAAAACAAGUUUUUUUCUCCUUGCGAACCCUGAACCUCCAACUCCUUUAACCCUUAAUUCAACUAACUUAACCAAUUGAGCUACUCAUCUCACCCGCCUUUAGUUGAUUAACCAACAUCAAGCAACUAUCAUAACUAAGUUUUAUCGUCCCAAUAAUUAAAAAUAUGGCAUACACAUUCAUGAUUUCCAUAAACCAAUCACUAAUGAUGUAAAGGAUUUUCAUAUCUCGCUUGAGCUUAACUUUAAAGGCUACAUUUCAUAACAUGAAUAACAGAUGAAUUAUAAUUCAUCAAUCAGUCCAACACAUACAUGAUUAAUAAUCAAACACAAGAAUAAAAAAAAUGAGGGGCUGUAUGACUGCAUUGUAGUCAAUCAUCAUAUCUUCUCUUUGAUCUUGAUCAAAUUGUCCAAACUUAAACUCAACUUUUAAAUUUUAAAACAGCUAAAAUUGCAACUUCGAAGUUGCAAUUGCUUUUUUAUUUUUUAUGUCGGUUGGAGUUCCCAAGGUCGUCUAUUUAAUGACGAGAGACGAUGAGGAAUCUUGGACUGAUUUAUACCAUCGAUUUUACGAAGAAAGACUUUUAUUUUUAGGUGAGACCUUAAACUGGACCUAAAAAAUUCCAACCAGUUUAAUCUAGUUCAUAUGCGCUAACUGCAUUGAAUUUAUAUCCUCAUUUCAACAUAUUAGACACAUUCUGUUUUAUUUACCAAUUGUUUUUUUCUUUCACCACGAGUUUAAUCUGAUUCGGGGAUCAGUUCUGACAUCAAGUGGUUUUAGCCCCUCCUGAUCGCAAUUGCGAGGAAUCGAACCAUGAUCCUCCCUAUUAAGUUUAACGCUAAUCAUCACUAAACAAAGUAACUAUUGAUGUUUUAUUUACCAAUUUUAAUGUUACAUACCGCGUGCAAUUGGUAUUUGGCAAUAGGUAAGAAUUGAAUAUGCAAUAAAGAAGACCACUACGGAUUGAACUCUUGAGCUGGAGAUAAACAUGGUAAAUUAUAGACACGUACACGGCAUUAUUACAUCAAACCGAAAUUUACAAUGCGCGCAUAUGGUAAAUAAUGGCAUGAAAAUUCAAUUCAAUUGUGGUAUCUCACAUACACACCUGUAAAGGAAGCUUCCAUUCAUCUUUGAUUCAUGCACAUGUAAGUUAGUAUAGUUAAACGUAUGGAACCAAAAUUUCGGCCUUAAACAUUCCUAUAGCCUAAUUAGGAAUAUUCAUUUCAAUGACGCGUCACAAGACUAACCAAAUACUGUACACAAUAGGAAAAUUUUAUUCUAUUGAAAAAUCAUUAUUAUAGGAUGAGUAAAUAGCACGUGUCUUUAUCAUCCCAGCUUCAACAAAGGUCAAAACCAAUUCAUCGUCCUUAAUCCUUAUCCACAUACCAAACACGACACAUCCAUCCUGUGUUUCACCCAUCUCAUCCACUCAGUUACUUAGUUCCAUCGUUUAACCACUCACAUUACUCGCAAUCUUAAUUGCUAGUAAGACACAACACAAGAUAAGAUACCAUUAACUCUGCCAACAGUAAAAACCGUCACACGCUUUCAAGAAAGAAUCAAACAAACACGUGGCAUUAAUUGAAUUAAUUAAUUAUUUCGGUGCCGAUCACGCGGUUCUGCUGUUCUGUUUCAGAAUCGUUCUAAAUUACUAUCAAAGACAUCAAUGAAAUUGAAAUCAUAUACUACAAACAUAAAAAUCGAUAAAUUUCCAUAAAUUAAAUAAAAAUAAUUAAUCAAUUGAAUUUGAAUUGAAUUGAAUUGUCUAAGUACACAAUCUUCUAAAUUCUAAAACCAAUCCCAAUUUGUAUAUACAGAACAAAUUGAUCCCAAAUAAUCGAAAAAUAAAUUAAAAUAACUAUGAUAAUAAUAAACUUAGAUAGAUCUAUAUUGAUCACAAAAUCACAAUGAUCAAUAUUGAGGAAUUUCAAUCUUGAAAAGACAUGGCUUCUUAGCUGCAGGAUGAGGACUGGAAACCUCAUCAUCCACGAAAAACUUCUUUGAAAAGUCCGGAAAAGCCGGGAGGUUAAGAUCAAAAUCACGGUGUUGACUGUGAGAAGAUCCAACUUCAGAAGCAGUUACGGUGCUGUUUCCACCACCGGCACCGGCACCGGCACCACCUUCAUAGUGACAACGCUUGUGUCCUCCCAAAGCUUGUCCAGUAGGAAAGGAUUUAUGACAAAUGGAACAUUCAUGAGACUUGAUCUUACCGUUGGAUGCAGCAGAGCUUGUAGUCACAGCGGAUGAGGUUGUUGUAGUCUGAUGAUCUUCACCAGUUGACAUAACAGCACUUUUCCGAUGACUGGCUUUGUGUCCACCAAGUGCUUGAUAAGAUGAAAAAGCUUUGUUGCAAACAGAGCAUUUGUGACUGAGUUUAGCGGGUGCUGAUUCGGUGUCAGAUAGAGCAGGUUUGACGGCGGUGGGAAGAGUAAUAAUCUUGUUGUUGUUGUUGUUGUUUCCGCUGCGAGCGAGCAUGAUGAGACAGAGAGCGAGAUACUCUUCCUCAGUACAAGAAGAUUGAUCCAUACGAGAACGUUUAGAACGUUUACCUUUAGUCCAAGGUGCAGCAUCGAUGUAACCGUGAUUUGGUUCCUCGAAAGGAGUGAAAGGAGUAGCGGUGGUGGGAGAGUUAAGCGCUUCCAUAGCCAUAAGAAAGAUUAUGAAACAGACAGAAUAUUCAAGAGUUGGUUAGCGUUACGCAAAUGAAAGUAGAAAAGGUUUAAGUUGUUGAGAGAGAGAGAGAAGUGAUUAUGAUUAAUUUUUUUGGAGUGUGAUAGUGAAGAAUAGGUGAGGUGUGGUUGGGUUUAUAUACAAUGAGGAGAGUGAAGAGGUGAGGAUUGUAGUGGAAGUUACUUGACAGGUGCAGAGAAAGUAGGCGCAAAUAGAAAAUAAGUUAAUUGAGUAGAUUAUUACAUGUGGAGAAGCUUGGUGCACGUGUUUUACAAUAGUUUUCAAAGGUGGCCAGUAGUAGUAGUAGUGGACCUUCUCAUCAGUCAAAUAAAGUGUUGUUGUACCGACUGCAGUUUUUUUUUUUUAAAAGCGAGUAAGAUUAGAUAGAGAUAGAACAAGUGACUUGUACAAGAUGUCAAGAUGUAAGACUUUUCAACCUCUCUCUGAAGUCUUAAGUAUGUGGUUGUGUUGUAGGUUUAAUUUUUAACCAUAAAGUAAGUUUCACGUCGGUUGUGACCGUAAAGUAAAGACAAUUUUUAUUUCACUAUCCAAUUUUGUAAGAAUGAUUUAGGCUCAACUCAAUUCUAAGAUUGAUAAUUGUCUAUAAACAAUGGAUGUAUCUGAUAAUUAGGAACAAACAUGCCGUUAUGGAGUUUGUGGUCGAACGGUUUAAAAAAAUAUAAACUUAAUUUUUAUUUAAUAANNNNNNNNNNNNNNNNNNNNNNNNNNNNNNNNNNNNNNNNNNNNNNNNNNNNNNNNNNNNNNNNNNNNNNNNNNNNNNNNNNNNNNNNNNNNNNNNNNNNNNNNNNNNNNNNNNNNNNNNNNNNNNNNNNNNNNNNNNNNNNNNNNNNNNNNNNNNNNNNNNNNNNNNNNNNNNNNNNNNNNNNNNNNNNNNNNNNNNNNNNNNNNNNNNNNNNNNNNNNNNNNNNNNNNNNNNNNNNNNNNNNNNNNNNNNNNNNNNNNNNNNNNNNNNNNNNNNNNNNNNNNNNNNNNNNNNNNNNNNNNNNNNNNNNNNNNNNNNNNNNNNNNNNNNNNNNNNNNNNNNNNNNNNNNNNNNNNNNNNNNNNNNNNNNNNNNNNNNNNNNNNNNNNNNNNNNNNNNNNNNAGAUUGAUAAUUGUCUAUAAAUAAUGGAUGUAUCUGAUAAUUAGGAACAAACAUGCCGUUAUAGAGUUUGUGGUCGAACGGUUUAAAAAAAUAUAAACUUAAUUUUUAUUUAAUAAUUUUAUAAAUACUGUUUUUAAAUCAAUAGUACCAAACCCACUUGGGUUGGUACAUUGGUAUUGGCUUGGGACCUGAGAGUGUGCUCCUCUUGAGAUCUGAGGUUCGAUUCUCUCUGGCGCCAAUUUGGGUAGGCUAAUUUAACUUUUUCAAAAAAAAAAUCAAUAGUAUCAUUUAAUUUGAUCAGACAGUCACUAAUAUUAGAUUGUGUGGCUAUAUAUUUUUUUACUGCACCUAAAUCAGAUCCCAUGUAAUAUAGCUAUCGUAAAAUGAAGAUAAUAUGAACAAGUCUUUUUUAUCUUAGCUAAAAUUUGGUAUUUGAAUUUUAAUUUUUACAAGCAAAAAUGUUAAAAGUUUCAGGAAAAUUUGUGUUUGCAAUUUGGCAUAUACUAGUAUAGUAUAAUAUAGAGAUAGUAAGGAAGACUGACUCUACAUUCAAAAGUCAAAAUGAGGGAAAAGUAUAAUAACAAUUUUUCUUUUAUUGUUUUUAAUUGAGAUUAAAUGUGAUUAAGGAAGUUGGUCCGAAACAAUGUUUGUCAACAGCCACCGGUAGGACAGUGGGAACUAGCCACCAACGACUUUUCUUAGUCAAUGUCACAGUAGCCGACUUUAAAUAACUUUGUAUACAUAGCACUGUUUCCAUUUUACAACUUGGUAAGUGAGUCUUUGAGUUUGAUUAAUUCAUCAUCUAUGGUUCGGUGUAUAUGCAAUAUUAAUAUGGAUGCAAAUGGCAUUCAAAUUAUGAAUAAUUAAUAUUAUAUUAAAAUUUGAGAACAAAUUGGGGCACUGCAUGCCGUUUGUCACGGUGAGAGGAGAGUAAGAUAACCGGCCAGAUCACAUGAAGGAUUUUUGCUAAAUAAGCGUCAGCAACAGCAUGUGGAGGGAGGGUCUGUUUGUUAUUAUGUAACCUAACCUCUCUCAAUUGAUUAUAACUAUUGCCUGUUUGGUGUCUUACCAUAAAAUGAAUACUUAAGGUUAGAGCUUGCUAGAAACUAAUAACACUAAACAUGUAGAACCUAAUUUGCCGUAUUGAAUAAGAUUGUUUGGCAAAUUGAUUAUAUUUUGAAUCGGCUAAAAGCCCAACAUACGAGAAGGUCCAUCCAAAUGAGAUAAAAAUAAACAUGUGGCAACGCGACCAUGACAAACAUACAAACGAGCACAGAUUAAAGGUGAACUGCCUAAACCGUCCUCAAGUGCUUGUACGGAAGGACAAUACAUGUGUUAUCUGUGGCUGAUCCACUACACAUGGGGGACCUCACAGUACUGUAAACUCUAAUAUCCUCUCGUAUAUAAACACUCAUACAUCAAUUCCUAGGUAUGACAUUUUGCGCCUCCAGUUACACUCUUUAAAUCUCUUUCAUAUACUGACUUGAGCGUCGGAGUGCUACCAUGACUGCAGGUACCCUUCCCUCCAACGCUUCAAUGCCGAAAUCGUCAAACUCUCACGACCAUCAUCAACACUCUACCAUCAGUUGAGAUGUCGCUGUUCAAAAGUUGACCCAUUCAGCUCAAUCCAUUUCUGAAACCUAGUUCAGAUUAUAUCAGCACAACAUGAACGUAAUUAUCUCGUUUAUCUUUAUUUUAAAAAUUAAAAUUAUCUCGUCCUGUGAGCCCAACUCAGUUGGCAUGGAUAUUGCACCAUACAUAUCCGGGAAUUUAAACUCUUAACACUCGACUUAUUCAUCUUUCUAACCACUAGAAGAAAAAAAAAUUACCUCAACAUUUUCACACUUAUUUUCUUUCUCCUAAAAAAACUUUUUUUAAAAAAAAAAAUACUCUUAACAAACUGAUGCAAUGCUCUUAAAAAUUAUUAUUAUUUAAAAAAAAAUGAUUUAUUUUUUCUUCUAGAAAAACCCUGAAGUGAAGCUUCAAGGUGGAAUUGGGGAAGGUUCAAGUGACAGUAAAUUUUGGGUGGAAUGAGAUUUUCUAUGUUGAUUUUUGACUUUACUAUAAUUGGAAAUUUAACCAAUGGAUAAGGUUAAGAACAUGCAACCACGAAGUUUGUUUCCUUUUGAAUUCUUUCAGUUCACUUAUGUGGAAAAUUUUCAAAACAAAAAAAGUCUAGAAACCAGUAAUGCUAUUGGAUUUUGGAAAGCUAACCAGGCAAAGAUUGUUAAAGAAAAAUGAGCCAAACAUUCAGUUUCACAUGUGCACUUGUCGAAUCAUUUUUAUACCGUGUUCAUAGUCAAAUUUAUGGUAUUGAGACAUCUAUUGUAUGAUAGUUUUUUUUAUUUUUUUUUUUUAAACAAACUGGAGAUUGAACCCAGGAUCUAUAACGUACUACUCAAACUUCUUACCACUAGAUCAAACCUAGUGACUUGUAUUUUAUGAUACUAUUUUUGGAUUUGAAUUCUCUUAUGUCUUUUCUUUUAUGAUAGCUGUUUAUGUUGAUUCGAAAUUAACAUCAAUUUCAAAGAAUUGUCUAUUACAUCUACGUCUACUUCGUUGGAUAGAUAUGAUAUUCAUGAUUGUGUUGGGCCAAAAUGGGUAUUCAUCCAAGAAGUUCAAUAUCGAGUAGUUGGAAGAAAAAUAGAAGUAGAAAGUUAUUAUAAAUAUGGAGAGUUAUAUUGAGUUUUGUUCACCACAACAACUCUAUUCUUAUAGAAUUAUUGUAGUUGUGAGUCAUGGGAGGACGGUUUGCAAAUUUUCCAUGCAAAAAUUAAAGUUGAGAUGGUUUGCAAUUUUAGUGCGUGUAAAAAAUUGCAAUUGUGUGUGAGAGUUUUAUAGGUUGCAAUUUCACCUUGUCAAAAUUGCAAAUUUAGUUUUAUAUUAUUGCAGAUUUGGUAGUAAAAUAUUAUUGUGAGUUGAUUUUGUUUGGUUUUAUUUAUUGGUUGAAUAUUCUAUUUGUUUUUAUUUAUUGCGUGGAGAUUUUUUUUUUUUUUUGAAUGUUUUCCCAACAGUUUGCUCCGUAUUCGUGUGGCCGUGUGGGUAUUCGCUUAGCGGAUAAUCCAUGGAUUUUGAUAUAUCCGCAAAUAUUUAUGGAUAUUCAUGGAUGAAAUGAAAAAUUAAGAUUUUUUUAUUGUAAGUGAAAAGUUGUAAGAAGAUGAUGAAAUUUUUUACCUCAAAAGAUGAAAAAAUAAAGUAAAAAAAUUUCUCAAUUAAAUAUGGAGAAAAAACACAAAAAUACAAGAAGAACUUUUUUUAUACAAUAAAAAUACUAGAGUUUAUAUUUAAAUAGGAACAUUUACGUAAUUUUACUAAUUUAUUAGUGGGUAUGGAUAUCUGUGGGCACAAAUAGUAUUAACCCGCAUCUGUAUUCAUUAUAUACGAAUAAUUGAAAUAUCCAUUUAUUUUAUCCGGUCAUAUCCUAUAAACCCGUGGCGAAUUUUAUCCGUACGUGGAUAUCCAUGGGUACGAAUUUUUUUGUCAUCCCUAUUCAUAGACUAUAAUAAAAUUUUACAUAAUCAAUUCAUUACAAAUCUUUUUUUCUUCGUAGAACCAAACAUAGACCAUAUAACAAAUUUCAUCAAAGUAAAAAAAAAAUUCAAGCAAAUUAGUACCAUUUUACUUAUCAAAUGUGUAAUUUGCUGUCACAUUAGUUUCUCAAUGUAUCAAAAUUUGGGCUGAGAAUGGACCCGCGACCCGACGCGAAAUCGGCAUAACAACCAACAUUUGGAAGCACUCGGUCGGGUGUGGGUCUGGUCUCGAGUCAAUAAUUGUAAAAUAUCAGUCAUGGAUGCUUAUAUACAGACGGGUGUGAGUCUCUAAAAAUUCAUCUUUUCAUAAUCGAAACCAACCAAAGAAUUACUACUAAAAUGCAAUUUUUUUCUUCCGGUUUCGAGCACAUCCUCCCUCUCUCUCUCUCUCUCUCUCAAUCUCUUAUAUUCUUCCCUUUAUUAUGUUUAGCUAUCUUUGAUAGAGAUGAAUGUUAUAUUUUAGAAGCUUAACUUGUAAAUAUGUUGAUAAAGAAUAUGUGAAAGAUAAUAUUAUAGAUUUAUCUUAAUUUAUACUUCUCAUCUACUUAAUCUAUUAUUGUAACAAGGUAACUACAUCUUUUCCUUUUUGUUGUAUCAUAUUGUAUGUUGUAUUGUGUACGAAAUAUUGAACAUUUGAAGAAUAUGAAUUUUUUGAUCAACGAAAUUUUAGAUGAAACAACAAAGUUUCAAGUUAACCCGUUAAAACCGACCCGUUAUAUUUGUCACUAGAAUGACUCGACACCAGAACAAACUGAAGAUAUAGAUGAUCGAACUUGGGUUUGAAUUAAGAGGUUGUGGUUUU
rnacentral:lncRNA from 1 species